rnacentral:lncRNA from 1 species
UCACUGUCGCCUUGAACUCCUGGGCUCCAGGGAUUCUCCUGCAUCAGCCUCCCAAGUAGGUGGGACCACAGACACACACCACCACAGCUGGCUAAUUUUUUAAAAACUUUUUGUAGAGACUGUGGGUGGGACAGGUGGUCUCACCAUCUUGUCUAGACUGGUCUUGAACUACUGGGCCCAAUAGAUCCUCCCACCUCAGCUUCCCAAAGUAUUGGAAUUACAGGUGUGAGCCACUGUGUCUACUGUAUACGGGCUUUUUAUUAUUCCUGUUUCUGUUGUUGAUACUCUUGCCUUUAGUAAACUCCUCCUAUACAACAAUUACUUAUCCACAGUUAGCCCACAGUCUAGCCAGAUUCAGUUGCUGGGUUGCACUCACUUCCCUUUAGGUUGUAUAAUUCUUUUGGGUAGUAAUCCCCUCAAGUGAUAUCAAUGACUUCAUAAUGAAUGAAGUUAUUAUGAACUCUUAACAUAAUUACUGAUAAUCACCAUCACAAACCUUAUAUUUCUAAGCCACCAAUACCAAUAUUGUCAUGCCUAAAGUAGGACAUUUUUGCUUACACAGAAAUCAAACUAAAGGGCCUAAGGUGGGGACCAGUUCGUGUGUUCAAAUUUUUGUAGCACUGACAGCCCAGGGGAAGAAUCACUGGUAUGGUUUAUCUUAAAAAAUGCAUAACCUGUACAACUCUUACCACAAAGGCAUACCAAAGCAUUAUUUUCAGAUAUUUUAAGUUAGUUUUAAAGUGAAGUAGACUCAGAUUCAUUAUCUUUGCCAGGAUCCAUAAUGAGAGUUCUGGAUUUUCCUGGCCUGAACCCAGUUCCUAGGUGACUCCUAAUGAGUGGUACUUGCUUUGUGGAAUAAAGAACUCCUGGUUACUCCCUGAAAAUUGGUGAUAUGUUUCUAUUUAUGGCAACUGAUUCCUGUAUUAAGAAUCAUUCAUGGCCGAGCACGGUGGCACAUGCCUGUAAUUUCAGCACUUUGGGAGACCAAGGCAGACAGAUUGCUUGAGGCCAGGAGUUUGAGACCAGCCUGGGCAACAUGGCGAGACUCCAUCUCUACUAAAAAUGUAAAAAUUAGCUGGGCAUGGUGGUGCCUGUGGUCCCAGCUACUUGAGAAGCUGAGGCUGGAGAAUCACUUGAACCCAGGAGGCUGGGGUUGCAGUGAGCCAAGAUCACAC